rnacentral:lncRNA from 1 species
AUUCACCACCAUGAAUCCCCCAAAUCAACCACCAUGGAUUCUCUCCACUAGAAUCUCCGGUCACCCUCCCACCCUAUCUCCGGCAUCAUCGUGCCCUCCACCGCGCCCACUAACUAUCUCCCCUGCCUCUCUAUCCAGAUCUCUCAGUCCAGAUCCAAAGUUGCAGCCUCCACCAGCUCCGGCAACUCCAGCAACCAAAUCCCUGUUCGAGGUUGAAGCUACUGCAUCAAAAUCCCCAAUUACUUCAUUAUUAGGUGGAUGCACCCUAGAUCUACUGGUUUGUCUACAAUUGUUAGAGGGCUCGAUGCAGCUAAGGAUGGCCACAUGGGAAGCAAUGGCCACAGCAUAUGUUCUACUAGAAGAGGAUUUACAUACUUGGGACCUUUGUCGUUAAAUUGA